rnacentral:rRNA from 1 species
AAGAUUAAGCCAUGCAUGUCUAAGUAUAAGCAAUCUAUACUGUGAAACUGCGAAUGGCUCAUUAAAUCAGUUAUCGUUUAUUUGAUAGUACCUUACUACAUGGAUACCUGUGGUAAUUCUAGAGCUAAUACAUGCUAAAAACCCCGACUUCGGGAGGGGUGUAUUUAUUAGAUAAAAACCAAUGCCCCUCGGGGCUCCUUGGUGAUUCAUAAUAACUUAACGAAUCGCAU